rnacentral:rRNA from 1 species
UUUUUAAAUGAGAUCUUGUAUGAAUGGUUGAACAAAAGAAAGACUGUCUUUAAAAUAAUAUUUGAAUUUAACUUUUAAGUGAGAAGGCUUAAAUAUUCUAGAGGGACGAUAAGACCCUAUAAAGCUUUAUAUUGUAAUUAUAUUUAAUUGAAUUUUAUAAAUAAGAAUUUAAUUUAAUUGCUAUUAUUGUGUUGGGGAGACAGGAGUAAAAUUAUAGUAACUGCUAUUAAAGUAAACAAUUAUAAAUGAUUUAUUAAGUGAAUGAUCCUAUAUGUAUAUAGAUUAAAAGAUUAAGUUACUUUAGGGAUAACAGUGUUAUUUUUUUUGAGAGUUCAUAUCGAAAAAGAAGUUUGCNNCCNCNAUGUUGAAUUAAAAUGUCUGUAUAAUGUAGAUGUUAUAUGAGAAGGNCUGUUCGACCUUUAAAUUUUUAC